UGUGCAAUUUUCUAAAAAACUAUCAAACUGA
rnacentral:piRNA from 1 species